AUGAGUACAAAGAUCAACAUCGGGACAUUGCAAAAGUUCUACCGCAAUAAGCAUUCAUGCAGCCAUGAUAAAUUUUUGCCUCGGUUUUUGGGAGGACUGAAUACUGGUGAUCAGAAACCUUGGGUGUGUUUGGAUGGUGGCCAAAAUCAAAAAAAGGGCAACCUGGUGCAUGUAGCUCCCGCUUGCGCAGGGUCCAGGGAAGGGUCCGACCACUUUGGGUCUAUAGUACGCAGCCUUUCCCUACAUUUCUGUAAGAGGCUGUUUCCAGGACUUGAACCCAUGACCUCAUGGUCACAAGGCAGCAGCUUUACCACUGCGCCAAGGCUCCCCUUCAUGACCAAAAUUUUGGUCUAUAUUUGGAUGGCAACCAACUUUUUGGCAUGCCAAUACUUCUUUUACCAAUCUAGUUCACUUUUCUUGCCAAUGUCGGCCAAUUCGUGGGCAAGCAAAAAACUCCACCAAAAUUUUGGCCAGCCAACUAUAUGCUAG
rnacentral:rRNA from 1 species